UACAGAGGCCACAAGCGUUAGGCGGAAUCACUGGGCUUAAAGCGUGUGUAGGCGGGUUGGUAAGUACCUUGUGAAAUCCCACGGCUUAACCGUGGAAUUGCUUGGUAUACUGCCGAUCUUGUGUCAUUUAGGGGCGGCCGGAACAGAUGGUGGAGCGGUGAAAUGCGUAGAUAUCAUCUGGAACGCCAAUGGUGCAGACAGGCUGCUGGGAAUGAACUGACGCUGAGGCACGAAAGCCAGGGGAGCGAACGGG
rnacentral:misc_RNA from 1 species